CCUACGGGUGGCUGCAGUGGGGAAUAUUGGACAAUGGGGGAAACCCUGAUCCAGCGACGCCGCGUGUGUGAAGAAGGCCUGCGGGUUGUAAAGCACUUUUAGUGGGGAUGAAAAGCUCAGGGCUAAUACCCCUGGGUCUUGACCUAACCCAAAGAAAAAGCACCGGCUAACUCUGUGCCAGCAGCCGCGGUAAUACAGAGGGUGCGAGCGUUAAUCGGAAUUACUGGGCGUAAAGCGUGCGUAGACGGUCAUCUAAGUCGGAUGUGAAAUCCCCGGGCUCAACCUGGGAAUUGCAUUCGAUACUGGAUGGCUAGGGUGCGGAAGAGGGAAGCGGAAUUUCCGGUGUAGCGGUGAAAUGCGUAGAUAUCGGAAGGAACACCAGUGGCGAAAGCGGCUUCCUGGUCCAGCACCGACGUUCAGGCACGAAAGCGUGGGGAGCAAACAGGAUUAGAUACCCCUGUAGUC
rnacentral:rRNA from 1 species